GGCAAGGUGGCCGAGUGGUUAUGGCGUUGGUUGUGAGUAACCUUAUUACCAAAGUUACCUACCAUUGUCAUACUAAUAAACCCCCAGUUAGGUAUUACCGAUACACCAAUUCGAAAGAGCGCGGGUUCGAGUCCCGUCCUUGUCA